GUUCAUGUGAUGACUUUUUUUCAGUUCAACUGCUGAGUGAUUUCAGAAAUGAACUAAAAUGAAUACUCUGACCAGA